GAUAACCGUGGGAAAUCUAGAGCUAAUACAUGCAAUUAAAUUGAAGGGGGUCAAAUCCUUUCAAAGCAUUUAUUAAAACAAUACCAACUAUAGUAGUGUAGGCAACUGUGCUACUAUAAGGUGAAUCUAGAUAACUUUGCUGAUCGUAUGGCCUUGUGCCGGCCACAUUUCAAUUGAAUUUCUGCCCUAUCAACUUGUUGGUAAGGUAGUGGCUUACCAAGGUUACAACGGGUAACGGGGAAUCAGGGUUCGAUUCCGGAGAGGGAGCCUGAGAAAUGGCUACCACAUCCAAGGGAGGCAGCAGGCGCGCAAAUUACCCAAUCCAGAUUCUGGGAGGUGGUGACGAGAAAUACUAGAUGGCUUCCUAAAAGGAUGUCAUACUGGAAUGGACGUAAUUUAAGAAAUUCGAUGAGUAACAACUGGAGGGCAAGUCUGGUGCCAGCAGCCGCGGUAAUUCCAGCUCCAGUAGUGUAUCUUAAAGUUGCUGCGUUUAAAACGCUCGUAGUUGGAUUACGCAGCAUAGAUUAGUCGAUUGGCAUGAUAUUGCACUCAAUCCAAUUGGUUAAGCUUUUGUUCAAGGUAUAUCCUGGAUGGGGGUUUGAUCAGUUGGAGCAGUACGUGUCGAUUAACAGCUAGUUUAUGCUACUUUUUUGUGAGGAUGGCAGUUGACCUUUAAUGCGUCGACUGUUGUGUCUCACAAAGUGUGCCUUGAAUAAAUCAGAGUGCUCAAAGCAGGCUUUAGCUUGAAUGUUGAUAGCAUGGAACGAACAAUUGUGAACUAGUGUUUUUAGAGACCAUUCAAGUGGAUUUAUAUUCGCUUGGAUGUGUAGCUUUAAACACAGCACCAACCGCCAUUUACGGAUGUUGGUUUCCGUGAUGGGGUGAUGAUUAAAAGGAGCGGUUGGGGGCAUUGGUAUUUUGCCGCGAGAGGUGAAAUUCUUGGACCGGCAAAGGACUAACAAAUGCGAAGGCAUCUGUCAAGACCGUUUCCAUUAAUCAAGAACGAUAGUGAGAGGUUCGAAGACGAUCAGAUACCGUCCUAGUUCUCACUGUAAACUAUGCCGACCCGGGAUCAGUUUCGAGCUAGAAAUGCUCGUGGUUGGUCCCCCUGGGAAACCUCAAGUUUUUAGGUUACGGGGGGAGUAUGGUUGCAAGGCUGAAACUUAAAGGAAUUGACGGAAGGGCACCACCAGGGGUGGAGCCUGCGGCUUAAUUUGACUCAACACGGGAAAACUCACCUGGUCCGGACAUCGAAAGGAUAGACAGACUGAUAGAUCUUUCUUGAUACGGUGGUUGGUGGUGCAUGGCCGUUCUUAGUUCGUGGAGUGAUCUGUCAGGUUGAUUCCGGUAACGGACGAGACCAUAGUUUUCAUUUAUGGUACUGGGGAAGGUUAUGGUGAAGCUGGCAACAGUGGAGUCAUAACUACUGGUAGGGUGUGCUUUUGUUGCAUUGAAUUUAGUGUUACUUGCUGGUUUAUGCCUUCCGGUAGCAUUAGAGGAUGUGUAAUUAUAGGGUGUACUCUCCCUCCAGUUAAACAUUGCAGGGUUUCGCUCUGUGAUUGUGCUAUGAAAAGACAACCAAGUAUACUUUAGAAGUUGGAGGAAGCAUUUGGCGAUAACAGGUCUGUGAUGCCCUUAGAUGUCCAGGGCCGCACGCGCGCUACAAUGAUAGCAACAAUGAGUGUCUUGGUCGAAAGACUUGGGUAAUCUUGUGAAUUGCUAUCGUGAUGGGGAUUGAUCGUUGUAAUUAUCGGUCAUGAAAGAGGAAUCCCUAGUAUGCAUGCGUCAUUAGCGUAUGCAGAUUAAGUCCCUGCCCUUUGUACACACCGCCCGUCGCUACUA
rnacentral:rRNA from 1 species